rnacentral:lncRNA from 10 species
GGAGCAGCACCCUGAGCGAGUCAGAGAGCCAGGAACGAUGCUAAAGCUUCCUGAUUCGUGACCCUGGCUAAGCAAAUGUAACGGCCCCAUUGACUCGCAGCCAUUGGAGAACUGAGCUUAAGAAUCUUUUGGCGGUCUGGAAACUUGGAAAAAGAAAGGGGCAACGUAUCCCACUUGAGCCAAGGCCAUACUUUCCCGGCUGCUCAGAAGACAUUUCUCUGUCUCCCCUGCUCUUCCCCAUCUUGAAUGUGGAUGUCCUGGCUGGGAACACAGCAGCCAACUCGUGAGUGUGGGUAACAAGCAGGGACAAAAGACCACCAGAGUCACAGAGACGCAGCUGCGGUGACACCGAGAUCCACUCGGCUCUCUUCUCUUCUGCGUCCUGCUCUAUGGCCUGGGAAGCUGAUCUCCAAGGAUCGCAUUCCUAGGGCUCUCUGGCCCAUGGGCUUCCCGUUGGGUUUGCCCAAUGGACAGCCAUGGCAGAAGAUCAAAGGGAAGAUGGCAGGAAGCUGUCCCCCACUCCUCGCCUGGCUGAGUUCUGGCGAUGGCUGCCAUCCAGGGUCCUGAGUCCCACCAGUUUUUACCCCUUGAAGUGAGAAAGAACACGUCUACAACCCUCCCUCAUUCCAGAGGCUGUGUUUUUGCCCUUUGGUCAUGCAGAUGGGGCUAAAGCGAAGUUACAACAUUGGAAAAUGUCUUCUUAACGUCACACUGAUCUCCUUAAGGCAACGAGCCCCACAUGCUCUCUGAGGCCUGUGCACGUGUUCUGAGGACCCAGUUAUGUGCUGCGUGAUUCCAGAGGUGAACAGACCCUCACAGAUCACCUCUCCUCACCCUCUCAUGAGAGGGAAACUGAGGCUCAGGGGGAGAAUUGGCAAAGGUUACACUUGGUGGUGGGUUUGGAAUCUGCCCUGUGGACGCCCGACUAACCAUUUCUGCCAGAUGCGCGUGGGAAGUAAAAUGGGAAGAGGUGCUCCAUAGGAGGAGGGGACGUGGGUACAGUCACGUGGACCCGUGAGCCGGUCACCUGCGAGGCACCAGGGCCUACAGGAAAGGUGCCCGCUGUCGGCUUCCGCAGGGAAUUUCGUUAUCUUUGUGAGGUAGGGUGGAACUUGCAUCCUGAACAUUAAAGUUUACAUGCCAAGGAGGGCGGUGGAGUCCUUGGAACUUCCUGCCUCCCCCUGAGGCUGCCUCCCCAUGCGAUUGACCUGGUCUGGCUGGGCCUGAUGCUGGGCUCAAAGAGAACACAGGUCUCACCCUCCUAUGUGGCGUGUGGUGAAGACUAAGGAGGUCCCCAGGACCCUGAGGGUUGCCCUUGGGUGCAUUGGAGUAGAGGCCAGGGAAGUCCAUGUCCUUUCCGAGCCAGGCCUUGCCGCCGAGGUACAGCCACAGUGUCCCCCUUCCAGCUGCAGAGCCGCUGCUUCCUCAUCUGUCAGGUGGGAACAACGACCCCCACUCUGUGCACCUCACUGGCAGUAGCGAGCACGAAGUGUGAGGGUGGACUCUGCAAGGUGGAAGCCAUGUCCCUGCAGGUUGCAUCUGUGCUGCCUGCCCUGCUGAGGGACGGGAACAGCAGCAUAGCCUUCGGUACCACGUACCUUGUUUGUCAAAACUGGACCUGCCACAGCGCGGUGGCCCUUCUCCUGGGGAAACACACUGUGCCCCAGGAGGUGUGUGGACAAACACCUUCACAGCACUGAUGCUGAGACAGCCAGAGCCCAGAAACGCCCAGCCGCCCCCGGUAGGAAAAUGAAUAAGUAAAUUGGGGCAAUUGGAGAUUGUGAUGUCUCUCUUGCUGAAGACCACCUGGCUGGAUUUGCUGGGGUGGGACCCAGACCGGGACGUUUUCAUACACACAAAACGGGCUGUGCCAGGUGGCCUUCUCCAGGGCACGGUGGGUGGGGGAGUCUCAGGCUGCCACGUGCCUGGCAGGCUUGGGACGAGGUGAAGGGAGGUGAGUGUUCGUGGGGAUGCUGGGACCCCAUUCGGGCCAGGUCAAUCACAUGGGGAGAUACAGUAUCAACAGUAAAGGAUCUUUAGAUAUGUAAACACACAGAUAAGUGGCCGGUGUAAUGUGCAGAAAAUGCUAAACAACAGAAUGCAAUAAUACAAAGUUCCAAAGCAGGCAACCCUAAACUCCAUGUUC